UCUCAGCCUGUUGAAUGAGCAGGAAGUGAAGCUGGUGGUUCCUACUCAGGCCAUUACGCCAAGAACGUUUGUAAUGAAGCCUGGGAAAAAGCUCAUGCUGGUUAACAGUUGUUGCUUCAAAUCGCAUCCCGGUACAUAUCACCAGUUUAGACAAGGCUGAUGCAAUCUACCAGAAACAUGCUGGGAAUACCCUUCUUGCAGUCCCAUCUGGUGAUGAGGAGUGCAUGAAAACUUUUCCACCACUUGUUGCUCAAGACUUUGAACUCCAGGGGCAGGGCUGUAACACCGCAAUCGCUGACAUCAAGGUCUCAUCAGCAGGCUGGGUUGCUGUGACAGCAGCCGAAAGAGAUCAGCUGUUGUUGAGGACUCGCGCACCUGAAGCAGCAG